rnacentral:rRNA from 1 species
GACGAACGCUGGCGGCGUGCUUAACACAUGCAAGUCGAACGAAGAGCGAUGGAAGCUUGCUUCUAUCACUCUUAGUGGCGAACGGGUGAGUAACGCGUAAUCAACCUGCCCUUCAGAGGGGGACAACAGUUGGAAACGACUGCUAAUACCGCAUACGAUCUAAUCUCGGCAUCGAGGAUAGAUGAAAGGUGGCCUCUACAUGUAAGCUAUCACUGAAGGAGGGGAUUGCGUCUGAUUAGCUAGUUGGAGGGGUAACGGCCCACCAAGGCGAUGAUCAGUAGCCGGUCUGAGAGGAUGAACGGCCACAUUGGGACUGAGACACGGCCCAGACUCCUACGGGAGGCAGCAGUGGGGAAUCUUCCGCAAUGGACGAAAGUCUGACGGAGCAACGCCGCGUGAGCGAUGACGGCCUUCGGGUUGUAAAGCUCUGUUAAUCGGGACGAAAGGCCUCCUUGCGAAUAGUGAGAAGGAUUGACGGUACCGGAAUAGAAAGCCACGGCUAACUACGUG